GACGAACGCUGGCGGCGUGCUUAACACAUGCAAGUCGAACGGAAAGGCCCUGCUUUUGUGUGGUGCUCGAGUGGCGAACGGGUGAGUAACACGUGAGUAACCUGCCCUUGACUUUGGGAUAACUUCAGGAAACUGGGGCUAAUACCGGAUAUGAGCUCCUGCUGCAUGGUGGGGUUUGGAAAGUUUCGGCGGUUGUGGAUGGACUCGCGGCUUAUCAGCUUGUUGGUGGGGUAGUUGCUUACCAAGGCUUUGACGGGUAGCCGGCCUGAGAGGGUGACCGGCCACAUUGGGACUGAGAUACGGCCCAGACUCCUACGGGAGGCAGCAGUGGGGAAUAUUGCACAAUGGGCGGAAGCCUGAUGCAGCAACGCCGCGUGCGGGAUGACGGCCUUCGGGUUGUAAACCGCUGUCGCCUGUGACGAAGCGUGAGUGACGGUAAUGGGUAAAGAAGCACCGGCUAACUACGUG
rnacentral:rRNA from 1 species